CGGCGCGUAGCUCAGUUGGUAGAGCGGUCGUCUUAUACACGAUUGGUCGCAGGUUCGAGUCCUGCCGCGCCGA
rnacentral:tRNA from 1 species